ensembl:lncRNA
AUGAUGCUACUUCAUGUUUCACGGCUCGGAUUGGCCGGCGCUGAGAUGUCUGAUGCUGGAGAGCCGAGCUUUGAUCUUAUUCGAGGAAGCCAAUUAUCGCCCCCCCCCCACCACCUCCCCCCCCUCCCCCUCCCCCCCUGCACUUCACACUGGGGACUCCUUGAUUUUUUUCAAAGAUUAAAAGUGUUUUUUUUUUUUCUUCCCUUCUUCUCCUUCCAUCGCCCCGCUUUUGACCAUCAGAGAGCCGGAAUACUACGACUACGGACACGGAGAGAGCGCCGAGUCGUACGAGUCAUACGGCCAGGACGACUGGAACGGAACCCCGCGAACAGCUUCAGGGAAGGCCCCGCCCCCCUCCAGAGGUGCCAAGACGCCUUACCGGGAGCACCCUUACCGACAGUACUGAGGCGGAACCCGCCGCCCGUAACGCGUCGCCGUGACUACCGCCCGUCCCCCACGGCAGCUCUCGCUUUACGCCGCCCGACAAAAGCACCGGCUGUCGGUCACCCAGCGCCCCGGAGGAGGCUGGCGGUCUGCAGGAGGCCGAGCGAGCACACCCCAGUGAGGCCGUGCACAGGAGCAGCAGCACGGUGGAGUUAUGGGGGAGGGACGGGGGCGGUGGAGGGGGGUCGGGGGGGCAGCUUGGACUCUGGAACGGAACUGGAACGGGACUUUGACGUUCUGCUCGCUGACACCCAGAAGAACCAGAGACGGACUCCAAUGUCACGGGGGCUUUUUCCUCUGCAUUGA